ACUAGGAUUACCAAACCAUUACAUUUCGGUAAGAUGAGACUUCUCUAGAUUCUGUGGAUCUUGCAGCAUUUUUGCAGACGGACAGGCGCUGUCAGCUGGGAGCUCAGCAUGGCUUCUCGUUUCCUGCCAUCAGGUAGGUGUUCCCUUGCAGCUCCAUUCUUUCACAAGUACAUGGUUCUCCUGGACAUUUUAUUGCCAAGUUCUAGAAAGAAUAAAUAUGAGAUGUCGGAGAAAAACAGAACAUUUAUAUUUUAAGGAUAAAUAAUACUGUUGUCGGAGGAUAAAAAUGCCAUCAAAUUUAUUAACUCUGGUGGUAAUGUCUAUUUUAAAUGGUAUUGAAAAGCAGUCUGCUAUGUAACUAAACUGUUAAAUAAAGGCCCAAACAACAUUUCUUUGUUCAACCAAACCGACACCAUUGGUAUUACCUCGCUUGCCCACAGUUUAGCUGAGGACCUGGUAUUUUGCUUUCCUGGACAUUGCUUUCUGAAUACGUGUAUGGAAAAUUCAUAAAGCCACCGUCUGAUGCUCUGCUCUGACUGCUGGUUUUGUUGGAAUCACAGAAGAUUUUUUUUUGUUUUUUCCAACAGGAUGAGCAGGCCUGUUAAACAUGGAAUAGAGACUGCACCCAAAACUCGAGGCUGAUGGUGUUUUCUGAAAUGGCCACAUUCCAGCUGCGGUGCUGUCGGUAAUUACAGAGCAGUUUCCUGCUUGGCUUGAGGUGAGCGAACAUUAACAGCUUUUAUUAACCAAACCCAAGAGGUGAAUGCUGACAGAAAGGAAGCUGAAUGGACUCAAUCAAGACGCAAGGAGAAGAUGGAUGUGGUGGUGAGAGACCUGCAGCCUGUUGCUGAAGGACUGGAUGAAACCGGAGGUUGAUACUCUGCAAAAGCUUCAUAGACUGUACACUGUAAGGAGGUUGUGCAGAUGGAAUUUCUAUGUACCUCAUAAUAAUUUUCUUAGUAAAACAAGCUGCCUCUUCUUGUUCCUUCAUGAAAUAAAAAUGGACUGGUGCCUGUUUUCCAUUUCUGACCUUAA